rnacentral:rRNA from 1 species
CCCUUAGAUGUUCUGGGCCGCACGCGCGCUACACUGAUGCAUUCAACGAGCACCCGCUGGGCCGAGAGGUCCGGCUAAUCUUUGAACGUGCAUCGUGCUGGGGAUAGAUGAUUGCAAUUAUUCAUCUUCAACGAGGAAUUCCUAGUAAACGCAAGUCAUCAGCUUGCAUUGAUUACGCCCCUGCCCUUUGUACACACCGCCCGUCGCACCUACCGAUUGAAUGGUCCGGUGAAAUUCUCGGACGCGGACUAGCGAUGUUAAUUCGGAGCUUGACUGUGAAAGUUAAUUAAACCUUACCAUUUAGAGGAAGGUGAAGUCGUAACA